rnacentral:rRNA from 1 species
GACGAACGCUGGCGGCGUGCUUAACACAUGCGAGUCGAGCGGAAAGGCCCUUCGGGGUACUCGAGCGGCGAACGGGUGAGUAACACGUGAGUAACCUGCCCCAGACUUUGGGAUAACCCUCGGAAACGGGGGCUAAUACCGGAUACGACACAGCUUCGCAUGGGGUCUGUGUGGAAAGUUUUUCGGUUUGGGAUGGGCUCGCGGCCUAUCAGCUUGUUGGUGGGGUGAUGGCAUACCAAGGCGACGACGGGUAGCCGGCCUGAGAGGGCGACCGGCCACACUGGGACUGAGACACGGCCCAGACUCCUACGGGAGGCAGCAGUGGGGAAUAUUGCACAAUGGGCGGAAGCCUGAUGCAGCGACGCCGCGUGAGGGAUGACGGCCUUCGGGUUGUAAACCUCUUUCAGCAGGGACGAAGCGUAAGUGACGGUACCUGCAGAAGAAGCGCCGGCCAACUACGUG